rnacentral:tRNA from 1 species
UUGGUUAAAGCCAAAUAGAGGCGUAUCACUGUUAAUGAUAGAACUGAAGUCUAUCUUCUAACCAAG